GGCAGUGUGGCUUAGUGGUAGAGCGCCUACUCUUCAAGUAGGAGACGACCGUUUGAUUCGGUUCACUGCCACCA
rnacentral:tRNA from 1 species